rnacentral:rRNA from 1 species
CAGUAGCCGCGGUAAAACGAAGGGCGCAAGCGUUAAUCGGGAUUACUGGGCGUAAAGCGUGCGUAGGCGGUGAGUUAAGUCUGCUGUGAAAUCCCCGGGCUCAACCUGGGAAUGGCAGUGGAUACUGGCUCGCUAGAGUGUGUCAGAGGAUGGUGGAAUUCCACGUGUAGCAGUGAAAUGCGUAGAGAUGUGGAGGAACACCGAUGGCGAAGGCAGCCCCCUGGGCCAAUACUGACGCUCAUGCACGAAAGCGUGGGGAGCAAACAGGAUUAGAUACCCCAGUAGUCCCUGUCUCUUAUAC